AUGAUGCAAUCUCAGGUUUGGUGGAUUUUUGCAGCAAGUUUAUGGGAUUUUCGAGAUGCAGGUACAACUUUGAACAUGGAGCAACACGAAAUGAAGAUUUAUGCGUACGGUCGGUAUGUGCAUAGUCUUGGUGGAUUACACAAAUACAUGGCUUUGAGAUAUAAUGUUUCUCCUUUUUCCCAAAUGAGACUUGAAUAUGUAUUUUGUAAUGCACUUGACUUUGAAAUAGAAUUGUACCCUUGA